rnacentral:rRNA from 1 species
GGCGGCGUGCUUAACACAUGCAAGUCGAACGAGAAAGUAGACUUCGGUCUGCGAGUAGAGUGGCGCACGGGUGAGUAACGCGUAGGUAAUCUACCCUUUUACCUGGGAUAACAUUGGGAAACUGGUGCUAAUACCGGAUACACUUAUCUGCUUCGGGGCAGAUGAGGAAAGGUGGCCUCUUGGUCAAAGCUACUGUAGAGGGAUGAGCCUGCGUACCAUUAGCUAGUAGGUGGGGUAACGGCCCACCUAGGCGACGAUGGUUAGCGGGUCUGAGAGGAUGAUCCGCCACACUGGAACUGGAACACGGACCAGACUCCUACGGGAGGCAGCAGUGAGGAAUAUUGCGCAAUGGGGGAAACCCUGACGCAGCGACGCCGCGUGAGUGAGGAAGGUCUUCGGAUCGUAAAGCUCUGUCAGAAGGGAAGAAGUGUUACAUGGUUAAUACCCAUGUAAUUUGACGGUACCUUCAGAGGAAGCACCGGCUAACUCCGUGCCAGCAGCCGCGGUAAUACGGAGGGUGCGAGCGUUGUUCGGAUUUACUGGGCGUAAAGGGUGAGUAGGUGGACUCGUGUGUCGGAUGUGAAAUGUCACCGUUCAACGGUGAAAGUCCGUUCGAAACUGCGAGUCUA